rnacentral:rRNA from 1 species
AGAGUUUGAUCAUGGCUCAGAACGAACGCUGGCGGCGUGCUUAACACAUGCAAGUCGUACGAGAAACCGGAACUUCGGUUCUGGGAGUAAAGUGGCGCACGGGUGAGUAACGCGUAGGUAAUCUACCCUUGGGUUUGGAAUAACCCGCCGAAAGGCGGACUAAUACCGGAUAAAAUCUUUCGGAGGGAUCUGAAAGAUCAAAGGUGGCCUCUCCAUGGAUGCUACUGCCUGAGGAUGAGCCUGCGUCCCAUUAGCUUGUUGGUAGGGUAAUGGCCUACCAAGGCUACGAUGGGUAGCUGGUCUGAGAGGAUGACCAGUCACACUGGAACUGGAACACGGUCCAGACUCCUACGGGAGGCAGC